rnacentral:rRNA from 1 species
GAUGAACGCUAGCUACAGGCUUAACACAUGCAAGUCGAGGGGUAGCAGGGUAGCAAUACCGCUGACGACCGGCGCACGGGUGAGUAACACGUAUCCAACCUUCCCAUAACUCGGGGAUAGCCUUUCGAAAGAAAGAUUAAUACCCGAUAGUACUUUUUCAAGGCAUCUUGAGAAAGUUAAAGAUUUAUUGGUUAUGGAUGGGGAUGCGUUCCAUUAGAUAGUUGGUGAGUUAACGGCUCACCAAGUCUUCGAUGGAUAGUGGUUCUGAGAGGAAGGUCCACGACAUUGGUACUGGGACACGGACCAAAGUCGUACGGGAGGAAGCAGUGAGGAAGAUUGGUGAAGGGGUGAGAGACUGAACCAGCCAAGUAGCGUGAAGGAUGAAGGUCUUAUGGAUUGUAAACUUCUUUUAUAGUAGAAUAAAGUGAUCCACGUGUGGAUUUUUGUAUGUAUACUAUGAAUAAGGAUCGGCUAACUCCGUGCCAGCAGCCGCCGUAA